AUUCAGCUGAUGAGUCCAGAAUAGGACGAAACAUGCGUCCACCAU
rnacentral:hammerhead_ribozyme from 1 species